GUACUAAUGAAGAGUCCGAAAUUGGGACGAAACAGUUGUCCAGUAC
rnacentral:hammerhead_ribozyme from 1 species